AUCAGCAUCCAAGGAAGUCUCAAGGUGAGGCUGCAAUGCAGCCUUCUCAACAGGAUUCUAUAGAGAAGUGGGAUGCUAACUGAUUUCCAGAGGUGGCCUUGUUCCAGGGCUCUCUGAAAAUGCUACCUGGUGAUGAACUUGACUUUGUUCUUCUGAGCUAAGGGCACUGGCCCAGUGGGCCAUCUCACCAUGGCUCUACUCACCUGGUGGCCAGCAGAGUCCACUGAGAGCUGACUUCUGGGAGUCGUUGCUGGAAGAGAGUCUGGCAGGAAGAAUUGUCAAGUAUCUCAGCUGACUCCCCAGAGGAGAUGAAUAUCCUCCCCAGGGACAGCCAAGGAUAACAUCAGUCCUCUCUGGGCCAGCAAGAUGACUCAGCAAUAAAAGCACUCGCUGCCAAGUGUGACCCGACUGAGUUCAAUUCCCAGAACCUACGGAGUUGAACCAGAUAACCAACUCAUGCAAACUGCUCUGACCCCUACAUGGACAGCAUGGCAUAGGUGGUGGUGCUGUUUGGGAAGGCUAUGAAGGCUUCAGAAGGUGGAGGCUUGUUGGAGGAAGAGGAUCACUGGUGAUGUGCCUUGAUGUUUUAAAGUCUGGCCAAUUUCCUGUUUGCUCUUUAACUGCCUAGGCAAUGUAUCCAAAAGACUCAAGCUCCUGGAGCCAUGUUUUUCUACCAUGAUGGACUUCAUCCCUUCAAACUGUGAGCCAAGAUAAAUUCUUCCUUCUUUGGGUUGUUUCUUCUUGGGUAUUUGGUCACAGCAAUGAGAAGGUCCACAGGGAUCGCCACUGCUGGUUGAGCUCCACUGUUUCAAUGGUUCCUGCACCUGCACGAGAAAGCUACACAUCUGCAUCUCCUUGGUCGUGGAGUCCAAGGUGGUUCCCAGCUGCCCAUGGAGUCCUCUUCAGAGGACUGACAAGCUGGAGAUGGAAACUACAUUUGGAGUCCUGCUCCAGGAGGGAAAACGGAAAAACAAGACACUGCCCCCAGGUGCAUCCAGGCAGGAGCUCAUUUCCAUCCCAAAUUGGCUCCAGAGGGCGAAGGCUUCUGGGAGAUACCAGGUUCCUUCUGCAGGAUGAGGAAAUCAGUUCAACAAUCCUCUACCCACACCUCAUCCCUGAACUUUGGAUUUCAUCUUCAGCAGCAUCAAGAGGCAAGCAGCAAAUCGUUGCUUGUAUACCACAAGUGAUGGGGAGCUCAUUACACUGCAAACUUCUCAUCCAGCUUCUGAGCACCAGGAUGCCAUCAGUGUGCUCCAUCGUUGGAGCUGAUGUCGGUUCCCUGAGGAACCCUCAUGAGGAUGGAGCUUGGCCAAUUCAGUCCUGCAGAGGUUUACAAACCAAGUUCAUUUAAGAGAUUCUUUUUGUUUCCAGUAACUGUUUGGCUAAGUCUUCAGCUUCUGAGGCUAGUGAUUGGGAAGGCUCAUGCCGGUCUGUUUUUAAAGGUAUAACUUGGCUCAUAUAAAGCUAAAGUCUGGCCUGAUUCAGUACUGCCCUAAGAAAAGCCAUUUGCUCAAAGGUGUUUACAGAGGAGGGAGACAGUGGGUUUCAGCUGCUUGGUUCUGUUCUGGGGGGCAUUGGGAUCCAGCAAUCAUCAAGAAUGAUCUGGUCUGACUGUGACUCACUGGGCCUGAAUGAAUUACCCCUUCCCCUUUGAUAUCAGUUCCUUCCAGGACUUUGGUAAAGAAUUCAAGAGCAAGUGGAGCCUCCAGUUUAACCCUUUACCCCAUUUUACAGAUAAGGAAGACUGAGAGAGUGAGUCCCAGAAAGAGGAAUUGAAUUACCUUGGGGAAACUACUAAAGCCUAAAUCUUGUGGCUUUCACUUUCAGCGUGCUAGUACUUCACAACCAUGCUUUCUCUUAUUCCCUGGAUUUUAGAGCCUCUUUUUCUUCCCCCUACCUGAGUUUUCCCAGACUGAUCCAGACUUCAGAGGUCACCAACCUCCAGCCUUGAGCUUCCCUCAAACCUGGAGCUCAGCACAUACUUAUGUCAUGAACUUUUCCCCACAGAGACAAGAUUAAAGGGAGAUGUUAAUAUUCAAGCAACCUCGCUAAACAAGCA
rnacentral:lncRNA from 1 species